GUCGCUUUGGUGGAGUGGUUAACACGUGGGCCUGCUAUUCCUCGAGGAAUUGGGAGAUGCACAGCUCAUGCCUUCGGGCGCGUAGGUUCGAAUCCUGCAGGCGACG